AUUGAACGCUGGCGGCAGGCUUAACACAUGCAAGUCGAGCGGAGAUGAGGUGCUUGCACCUUAUCUUAGCGGCGGACGGGUGAGUAAUGCUUAGGAAUCUGCCAUUUAGUGGGGGACAACAUUCCGAAAGGAAUGCUAAUACCGCAUACGUCCUACGGGAGAAAGCAGGGGAUCUUCGGACCUUGCGCUAAAUGAUGAGCCUAAGUCGGAUUAGCUAGUUGGUGGGGUAAAGGCCUACCAAGGCGACGAUCUGUAGCGGGUCUGAGAGGAAGAUCCGCCGCACUGGGACUGAGACACGGCCCAGACUCCUACGGGAGGCAGCAGUGGGGAAUAUUGGACAAUGGGCGGAAGCCUGAUCCAGCCAUGCCGCGUGUGUGAAGAAGGCCUUUUGGUUGUAAAGCACUUUAAGCGAGGAGGAGGCUACCUGGAUUAAUACUCUGGGAUAGUGGACGUUACUCGCAGAAUAAGCACCGGCUAACUCUGUGCCAGCAGCCGCGGUAAUAC
rnacentral:rRNA from 1 species